GUAUUUAUACACAUCGUCACUGGAACACAUAUCCUUCGUAAAACGAAAAAAUCGUUGUUUCAGUGCCUGUAAGCAGCUGUCUGGCCUGUUAACCUGACACACGGAUGUGUCAAAUUAAUUGCGACAGCAAUGCACCACUAAAUGUCACAAAUUGAAUUAUUAGUUGUGAUUAAGCGCUGUGUGGCGUCUACUAAAUAAUUGCGUGUGCCAUGUAAAGAUUUUCCCGCACCAGAAUUUAUAUUCACUACUCACCCGGUAAAGAUCACAGCAAUACAUAUAGAUCAACCUAUGUCCACAUAUACAGUU